GAGUUUAGUAUAAUGGUAAAAACAUGUUUUUUUUAAUAAAACGAUAUGUCAUGAGUUCGAAUCUUACUUCACUCA